rnacentral:misc_RNA from 1 species
GAUGAAGAACGUAGCGAAAUGCGAUAAGUAAUGUGAAUUGCAGAAUUCAGUGAAUCAUCGAAUCUUUGAACGCACAUUGCGCCCGCCAGUAUUCUGGCGGGCAUGCCUGUCUGAGCGUCAUUUCAACCCUCAUGCCCCUAGGGCGUGGUGUUGGGGAUCGGCCAAAGCCCGCGAGGGACGGCCGGCCCCUAAAUCUAGUGGCGGACCCGUCGUGGCCUCCUCUGCGAAGUAGUGAUAUUCCGCAUCGGAGAGCGAUGAGCCCCUGCCGUUAAACCCCCAACUUUCCAAGGUUGACCUCAUAUCAGGUAGGAAUACCCGCUGAACUUAAGCAUAUCAAUAAGCGGAGGA